UGGCUCAGUGGUUAAGAGCACUUGACUGCUCUUCCAGUGGUCCUGAGUUCAAUUCUCAG
rnacentral:tRNA from 1 species